rnacentral:lncRNA from 1 species
AAUGUUCUAGAUGUUGAAGACACUAGUUCUUAUCGAUUUUUAAGAAGUGGGAAAGUUAAAAUGUUUGGGGAUAGCUCAAUGAUACAGUGUGUGCUUCAUUUGCACAAGAGUUUGAAUUUGAUCCUUAGCACAGCUAAAAAAAAUAUGUAAUUGUUAAGCUUAAAUUUAAGAUAUCACUGGAAAACUGAGAGCAGAGGAAAAAAAGGCUACCUUUGGAAAAAUCAGAAUAUCUGAGUUUUGAGCUUCAUAAAAGAGUUGAUAUAAAAAGGGGAGACAUAAAAGGGAGAUAUAUAGAUAGGAAGAGAGGGAAAGUAAGACAGGAAAUGAAAAGUGAGACUGAACUCCUGAGAGUGUCAGGGAUGUCGUAGCAAGUAUACAUUAGGAUAUGGCUAUUAGCAGCAAAUCCCAGGACCCUCUUGAGUUUCUUAUUGUAGUUAAAGAACAGAGUUCAAGAAAGGACUCAAAAUGAAGUGCUAGGACAGUUUUCUUAGAGUUUUAUAGAAAAACCUCCAAAGGAGAUAAGCUUAUGGCUAUAAUUGAGACCCCUGUCUACAGGAGGGAGAUAGAAGAGGAAUAGAGAAGUCACCUUGUUAGCGUUAGUAAUCCAAGGUACUCACAUGGUGGAUGAGUAGCUACAUGGCCACAAAGGAAGAGCAGGAACUUUAGAGAAAAAGUAAGGAAGCCUAAAACAUUAGGGAAAGAUGGGAAGGACAGAGAUAGACAUAAGAGAAGGAAAGUUAUGCUAUUUGGAGUAAUUCUGAAUAUCAAGUAGAUUUAUGAAGCUAUGGGGUAGAGGUUCUGGGAAGGAAAAGUUUUUAUCUAAAAGGGAUAGUGACUCCUAUCUCUUUAGCAUGGCUUAUAAUGAACUUGCUUUCUUGAGGUUGGUCCCUUGGCUAGGUGGUUGACUAGCCUAACUGCAUUUAUUCUUUUAUAUUUUGGGUAGUUUGAAAAGUUAGGUCUCAUGCCCAUGCCAGAGAAAUAGCUUUCCCUAAUGUAUCUUCACAGUACCGUGAUCAAGAUGACUGUAACAUGACCACAGCAUGAUGUCCUUUGGAGAGAGGGUAAGAACAGAAUUCAAAUGAAAUCAGAGAGACACGAAAUUCUGACCAGAAACAGUGGAGAACUGAAAACCGGAAGGGGGAAAGUGGCUACAAGACAAAAGGAUCUCUGAGUGUGUAAUUUUACCUGUGUGGAUGGAAGGAUCUAGAGACAGGAGCAUUGACAAAAGAAAGUCUUACAAUCUUCAAGGCUGAGAUUUCUCCUCAGCAAGUGGAUGGCGAAGAAGCCACUAGUGGCUUGAGAAGCGAUGUCGUGUCCUUCGAGAUCUAUGCUUCUUCCCUGUGUCUUGGGGUUAGUGGAGACACACACAAUACCAGACAGGAGCCUGACUGGUGCCAGGAGAAACUGGAGCUCAAAUACAGUUCCAGCUCUGUGCUUAAUUAAUCCCCCAAGGCAAGCCCAAAUAAACCCUGAGACUGACACUAUUCUUUAAAUAACAUUAACACUGGCUUGUGUCGAUUAAUUAGAGAAUUAAUGAGCAAUGGAAGUGCCCACUCUUAAGCAAUUGGUCACUUGUGAUGAUUAGUAUGCUGUGCACUCUGAUGGACCAAAAUACUUAAUUUUGUGCACUAAAAUGUGGAAAACUGAAGAUAGAAGAAGCCAAUG